UUGCUUUGGCAGCACAUAUUCUAAAAUUGGAACAAUACAGAGAAGAUUAGCAUGAGCCCUGUGCAAGGAUGACAUGCAAAUUUGUGAAACAUUCUGUAGUGAG